GAAUCUUGGACAGGACAAAAAAAAAAUCAUGGAUAAUAUAACAAUGCAUAAUGCUACAUUUAUAACAGUGUUGUCUAUAACUCAGAUAAAAAGGUUAAGUUAUAAACAAUUUAUUUAUUUAAGAGCUAGAGUCUAGCCACAAUGUGUUUAAUCCUUUCCUCAGGGAUGAAAUACUCAUUGGUAUUGUGAGUUUAACUGAGGUUAAACUGUUACAAAACCUCUGUGCUUUUCUGACAAUACACCAGCGGACUAUUAAAAAAUAUAUAAUGUGUUGGAUUGAUAGAUAAAUAGAUCGAUUUGCCCCCAACCAGAAUAAAUGGUGCAGUAAAGGACAAUAUAUACAGAUAACAACGAGGAAUGGAUAUUACUAAAAUAAAUGUUAUACUUUUGAAAUAUAAUCAUUAAAUUUGUGUUAUUAUAAUCAGUGUGACUUUAUUGAAAAGUAGGCUAGGAGGAGGCUAGGAGGACGAUCAGUGUGUGUGUGUGUGUGUGCUUUAAAUGUCCGCGUGGGGGUGGUUCCAUGGGUGGUUCUGCCUCCGUCCCGUCACGUCCUAUGGCUGGAAGCCUCGGCUUAAUAAAAAACAACAGUGUUACCCCUUAUGUUUUUGUUCAUGACGACAAAAAACAACAGUGUUACCCCUUAUGUUUUAUUCAUGACGACCAAUAAAAAAUAAGUGUUACCCCUUAUGUUUUUUUUCAUGACGACCAAUAAAAACGACAGUGUUACCCCUUAUGUUUUUUUCAUGACGACCGAUAAAAAACAACAGUGUUACCCCUUAUGUUUUUGUUCAUGACGACAAAAAACAACAGUGUUACCCCUUAUGUUUUAUUCAUGACGACCAAUAAAAACAACAGUGUUACCCCUUAUGUUUUUUUUCAUGACGACCAAUAAAAAACAACAGUGUUACCCCUUAUGUUUUUGUUCAUGACGACAAAAAACAACAGUGUUACCCCUUAUGUUUUAUUCAUGACGACCAAUAAAAAACAAGUGUUACCCCUUAUGUUUUUUUUCAUGACGACCAAUAAAAACAACAGUGUUACCCCUUAUGUUUUAUUCAUGACGACCAAUAAAAAACAACAGUGUUACCCCUUAUGUUUUAUUCAUGACGACCAAUAAAAAACAACAGUGUUACCCCUUAU
ensembl:lncRNA